CCGGCCUCGGGCGAGGCACCCCGGAGGCGGAGGGUAAGGAGCCCUGCGAGGCCACAGAUCUUGGACACCUGGAUGGAGGAUCUCCAGUCUUGGCUCCAGCGUCUUAGAGUGAUGCUUGCACAGGGCACAACCACUGGCACAAGACCAUGGAAUCCUUCUUGUUCCCUGCAUACAGAGGUAUGUGU